ACAUUGGUGUUGAUCAUUAAGGUUGUACGUUGCGUCAACAGCCGACAGAGUUUUUCUAGGUACUUCGUAAACGAGUUCUAUGGCGCCGCAAGGAGACAAAGGUAAGGGAAAGGAGGCAGAGCAGUCCAAACCGAUGGGUGGUCCAGCGAUGGCCAAGCCUGCUGCGGAUAAGCCUGGGGAUAAGCCCGGACAAGGCAGGGCAGGUGGAAAGCCCAAGGGCAAGUGAGCACGUCCUCUGAAGGUUGUGGGUGUUCUACCGGAAUCGUAUGGUUGGUUAGUUGGUUGGUUAAUUGGUUAGUUGGUUGGUUGGUUGGCUAUCGUAUUGACAAGUGGGUGCUAACUUUAGCCGCCGGCGUGACACACGUUGUUUGGUAAGGUGUCGCAGUUCGCGAGCGAGGUCGCAGCGUCUGGACCGUCGACACGGCUGAGGGCGCGUCCUUGUCAGGUAAUCGUCCGCACUGGCGUGGUUGUCAGAGCACGGGUGCGCUGGAACGGAUGCUCGUGGUCGUCGUCGAUGCUCAGUAGAACAGCGGCGGCGCCGACUGCAUUCCGAUGAAUGGCAGGGUUUUCCGGCGAGGUCUUGGGGCAUCAUGAGCAUUGCCACCAUCGUCGUCGUCAUGUUGGUGCCGAUGUCGUCAUGGAUUCCAUGGUGGCCACGGGUGUGGAGCGAUGACAUUCAGUGUAAACGUUUUUUCUUGGAGAAAAUUAAAGACUUCCAUCGGUGUACCAGGCGCACAACACGCGCUGUCCAUACGCCCGUGGCGCCGAAAAGACUCAGUGGUAACAAAAUCGUGGAUGCCGCUGACCUCCUCGACAGCGGGUGUAUUUGACGCAACACGGUACGGGCGCGGCGGCAUGGAUCGAACGGAGUAUGCGGUCUCUGCUUCCUUGUAUUUCGUAUCAGGGCGCGUGUGCCGCAGCCGUGAAACGGAGCGCGCGCGCGAACCCCAACACACCCAUGGACAGCGGUGAUAUCGCCGCAGCGAUUGCAUCGCUGGUAUCGCUCCUCCGGAAUGACCUAUUCCGUGCAGCACGAACUGCCUCGACAACGGCUCGAUGACGCCCCGCAUCAUUCAGAGCCGGGAGCAUGCUCCAUAGAGACCAGACGGGCGUCGACUCGAGCGUCGCCUCCGGUUCGAACUGUUGCCGCUGUCCCAGACGCUUGCACUCGAUUCCAGCGUCACCACGAUGUUGCUGUGGACUCGGCAUUGCACCGAGUCUCGAUAUCGCUGGUGUCAGUGUCCUGUGCAUCAUCAUCGGUAUCGAUCCAGGGAAAGCGCAAAAGCGCGGCAAUGCCGCCGAUAUCCGCCAACUGCUGGCCAGUCGCGUGUGCGCUACUGAAGAGAUGCACCUGGCCUCGGGCCGACUCCACCUGAUCGACCAGGGCAACGAAGCGCUUCCUUUCUGACACCUCUCGAUGGCGGAACAAGGCGUCCGUGAUUAGGAGGUGCUCGACUGCACCCAUUUGUGCGGCUCUCUCUACCUGGUCCGGGCCAUAAAGCGCACGAUCUGAAUCCUGAUGUAUCUGCUCGUAAAAGGUCUGUAGCAAACGCUGGUUCACAGCAGCCUUGGUGUCAUUGAUCAGGGUCAUGGUCUCGGGCGAGGCGAGCACUUCAUGAACGGCCUGCAUGCGACCACUGCCUGCCGCCACAGCGAUGAACUGUCGCUUGUGUUCCAGAAUAGACCGCAGGUCCCGUCGAGCGGCCUCGGCAAACAGGUACUGCAGGAACUGCUCCCGCACGUAACCCGGUGAAGCGAUGACGACGCAACGCACUUGUUCUAAGUUUACCUGCUGGAGCAGUGCUCGCAUUACUGCCUCGAAAAAGCGUUCCAGCGCUUUAUCUCGCACGCCGAAAGCGGUUGCGGCGCGCUGCAACUUGCUGGGAACGUGCUGCUGGAUCCGCGCUCGAAGCAGCGUUGCAGUGCCGCUUACGAGACAGAGGUGCGCGAGUCCUUCCUCCAUGACGCAGAUCGCGAUGUCCGCGGACUUGCUGGGAUCACAGGCGGUUUCCAAGGUUCGUAGGUGGACGCGGUCGAACUGCGACUUGAUGAGAUCGAACCGAAGCCCGGUCGUUAUCUCGAGCGUGUGGUGCUGCUCUCGCUUCACAUACUCGUUUUCGGACACGUUCUUGCCCUGGAUCCGGAGGGAAGGUGCCUCCGUGUCAUAGUCAAUUCGUUGUACCCGGAUCGUCAGCACGAGUCGUACGCGUUCCGUGUGCCGAGCACUGGCGCGUUGCUCAGUCGCCCCCGCGAGAGCGACUUUUCGCCAGGUGGUUGUUCGCACCAAGUCGCCUUUGUCGAUGAGGUUAUAGGCGUGCCAGAGGUCCUCGCUGUUUUCUGGUAAGAGCGCAACUUCAAAGCGCUGAUCUUUCAGGCUCACACUGCGUCGGAGGAGCUUCAUACGACGCUGCAACGGGUGUCAACAACGCCAGCGUCAACCGCUUGAUGGAUACCUCGGGC